rnacentral:rRNA from 1 species
AACGAACGCUGGCGGCAGGCUUAACACAUGCAAGUCGAACGCCCCGCAAGGGGAGUGGCAGACGGGUGAGUAACACGUGGGAACGUGCCCUUCGCUUCGGGAUAGCCUCGGGAAACUGGGAGUAAUACCGAAUACGCCGUAUUGGAAAGAUUUAUCGGCGAAGGAUCGGCCCGCGUUGGAUUAGCUAGGUUGGCGGUGUAAUGGACCACCAAGGCUACGAUCCAUAGCUGGUCUGAGAGGACGACCAGCCACACUGGGACUGAGACACGGCCCAGACUCCUACGGGAGGCAGC